rnacentral:rRNA from 1 species
CCUACGGGAGGCAGCAGUGAGGAAUAUUGGUCAAUGGACGAAAGUCUGAACCAGCCAAGUAGCGUGCAGGAUGACGGCCCUAUGGGUUGUAAACUUCUUUUAUAUGGGAAUAAAAGGUUCUACGUGUGGGUUUUUGUAUGUAUCAUAUGAAUAAGGAUCGGCUAACUCCGUGCCAGCAGCCGCGGUAAUACGGAGGAUCCGAGCGUUAUCCGGAUUUAUUGGGUUUAAAGGGAGCGUAGGCGGUUUGUUAAGUCAGUUGUGAAAGUUUGCGGCUCAACCGUAAAAUUGCAGUUGAAACUGGCAGUCUUGAGUACAGUAGAGGUGGGCGGAAUUCGUGGUGUAGCGGUGAAAUGCUUAGAUAUCACGAAGAACUCCGAUUGCGAAGGCAGCUCACUGGACUGCAACUGACACUGAGGCUCGAAAGUGUGGGUAUCAAACAGGAUUAGAUACCCUUGUAGUC